AACGAACGCUGGCGGCAUGCCUAACACAUGCAAGUCGAACGAGACCUUCGGGUCUAGUGGCGCACGGGUGCGUAACGCGUGGGAACCUGCCCUUAGGUUCGGAAUAACUCCCCGAAAGGGGUGCUAAUACCGGAUAAUGUCUUCGGACCAAAGAUUUAUCGCCUUUGGAUGGGCCCGCGUUGGAUUAGCUAGUUGGUAGGGUAAAAGCCUACCAAGGCGACGAUCCAUAGCUGGUCUGAGAGGAUGAUUAGCCACACUGGGACUGCGACACGGCCCAGACUCCUACGGGAGGCAGCAGUGGGGAAUAUUGGACAAUGGGCGCAAGCCUGAUCCAGCAAGGCCGCGUGAGUGAUGAAGGCGUUAGGGUUGUAAAGCUCUGUUACCCGGGAUGAUAAUGACAGUACCGGGAGAAUAAGCUCCGGCUAACUCCGUG
rnacentral:rRNA from 1 species